UGGAUCUGUGAUGACUACUAGUGCUGUGUGAGUUGUGGAUCAUAACUAGACAUCUGGGAGUUGAGGUCCAC